rnacentral:rRNA from 1 species
UACGUAGGGGGCAAGCGUUGUCCGGAUUUAUUGGGCGUAAAGAGCGUGUAGGCGGCUGGGUAGGUCCGCUGUGAAAACUCGAGGCUUAACCUCGAGACGUCGGUGGAAACCAUCCAGCUAGAGUCCGGAAGAGGAGAGUGGAAUUCCUGGUGUAGCGGUGAAAUGCGCAGAUAUCAGGAAGAACACCCGUGGCGAAAGCGGCUCUCUGGGACGGUACUGACGCUGAGACGCGAAAGCGUGGGGGAGCGAACAGG